UGCCGUAAAAAUACAACGAAGAAGAAGAAGACGGGAGAGGAUACGUCAUAAUCGAACACUGAGGAGAAAAGCGCCUGUCAAAUAUGACGGGGACAGAUGAGCACACGUGUGUUUAUCCGGUAGAGGAAUGAUGCCAUCAACGGCUUUGAGUGAGGAUACUACAGAAAUGAAUUAAGUCUAUUUAAAUCUAAAGUCUAGUUUAUUUUAAUUAUUGUAAUUUAAACAGAGUUAUUACAGCACUUUUCUGACUCUUGAUGUCUGUAUGUUUGCUGCAGAGCUUUUGUGGUGGAGCAGGACCUGCAAGACAAGGUGAUGGCGGCAUUUGUUAGGAAAAAAAAGAGGAAAACCUGAAACAAAAUAUAAAGAUGUGAAUGUCCUCAGACUGGUGUGAGCACUGAGGACGGAGAGCCACAGCAGAUCCUGGAAAUGGUGUAGAGCCAUGGAUGAGACCCUCCAUCACUCCUCCUUCCAAGUGACUUGAUCAAGGACACACUGGAGGUGACGCUGCAGAGAUCGAACCAGCAACCUUCUGCUGACCAGCUCAGUGGUUUAGACCACCACACCACAAAUUCAUGCUGAUGGAGAGCACAUGAAUGUUUGCAGCAGACACAGCAGCAGCCAGAUUGUCCUGCACAUCUUCUCCCACUCUUGCUUCAAGGUUGAGGGGUUCAGGGGUCCAUCAUCAUCAUCUUCCUCAUCCUCUGGAUCAACGAUGUCCCCAUUGAGAAGAGCUGCAGUGAGGGACAUGAUGAUGAAGGUGUUCAUCAGCUGCUUCAUCAAAAUAAAGCUGCAGAAUUGGCACAGCUGUGUUGAGAUAGAAGCAGGACUGUAAAUACCUGAUUGUUAGAUCAAUAAAUUUGAAUAAAGUUUUGUUUUGUGUGUGGUUGACUUGUAUAUGUAUUUAUAUAUUGUCAUUAUUACUUUUAUUAAUUCUUUUACUUUUUUUUUUAAUUAAUAUGCUAUUAUUAUCAGUAAAUUUAUAUAUUUUAUUAAUUCAUGCAUUAAUGCAUUGCUUGACUGUAAAUUCAGAUAGCAGCAGGACUGUAAAUACCUGAUUGUUAGAUCAAUAAAUUUGAAUAAAGUUUUGUUUUGUGUGUUGUCGACUUGUAUAUGUAUUUAUAUAUUGUCAUUAUUACUUUUAUUAAUUCUUUUACUUUUUUUUAUUAAUUAUGCUAUUAUUAUCAGUAAAUUUAUAUAUUUUGUUAAUUCAUGCAUUAAUGCAUUGCUUGACUGUAAAUUGAGAUGUAUUCACAUCAGCUGUAUUUGUCUAGUGUGUGUUCAUGCAUAGCGAUGUCAUAUGACAAAACAUUACAUUUUGCUUGUUUUACUAAAGAAGUAAAAUGAAAAGUAAUAUAA